GACGAACGCUGGCGGCGUGCUUAACACAUGCAAGUCGAACGGAAAGGCCCUGCUCUUGUGGGGUGCUCGAGUGGCGAACGGGUGAGUAACACGUGAGUAACCUGCCCUUGACUUUGGGAUAACUUCAGGAAACUGGGGCUAAUACCGGAUAGGAGCUCCUGCUGCGUGGUGGGGGUUGGAAAGUUUCGGCGGUUGGGGAUGGACUCGCGGCUUAUCAGCUUGUUGGUGGGGUAGUGGCUUACCAAGGCUUUGACGGGUAGCCGGCCUGAGAGGGUGACCGGCCACAUUGGGACUGCGAUACGGCCCAGACUCCUACGGGCGGCAGCAGUGGGGAAUAUUGCACAGUGGGCGGACGCCUGAUGCAGAAACGCCGCGUGCGGGAUGACGGCCUUCGGGUUGUAAACCGCUUUCGCCUGUGACGAAGCGUGAGUGACGGUAAUGGGUAAAGAAGCACCGGCUAACUACGUG
rnacentral:rRNA from 1 species